UACGGAGGGUGCAAGCGUUAAUCGGAAUUACUGGGCGUAAAGCGCGCGUAGGCGGUUGUUUAAGUCGGAUGUGAAAGCCCUGGGCUCAACCUGGGAACUGCAUUCGAUACUGGGCAACUAGAGUAUGAAAGAGGGAGGUAGAAUUCCAUGUGUAGCGGUGAAAUGCGUAGAUAUGUGGAGGAAUACCAGUGGCGAAGGCGGCCUCCUGGUUCAAUACUGACGCUGAGGUGCGAAAGCGUGGGGAGCAAACAGG
rnacentral:rRNA from 1 species